UACAGAGACUGCAAGCGUUACUCGGAAUUACUGGGCGUAAAGCGUGCGUAGGUGGUGAGUUAAGUCUGUCGUGAAAGCCCCGGGCUCAACCUGGGAAUGGCGAUGGAUACUGGCUCGCUAGAGUGCGGUAGAGGAGAGUGGAAUUCCCGGUGUAGCAGUGAAAUGCGUAGAGAUCGGGAGGAACAUCAGUUGCGAAGGCGGCUCUCUGGACCAGCACUGACACUGAGGCACGAAAGCGUGGGGAGCAAACAGG
rnacentral:rRNA from 1 species